rnacentral:rRNA from 1 species
GACGAACGCUGGCGGCGCGCCUAACACAUGCAAGUCGAGCGAUGAAAUUUUAAGCGAUCUCUUUGGCGAGAAGAUAAAAUGGAUUAGCGGCGGACGGGUGAGUAACCUGUGUGAAACCUGCCUUUCACAAGGGGAUAGCUUCGGGAAACCAGGAUUAAUACCAUAUGUCACAUUUCGUUCGCAUGGAAGCUAUGUUAAAACUCUGGUGGGGAAAGAUGGUCUCGCGUCGGAUUAGCUAGUUGGUGGGGUAACGGCCCACCAUGGCCAUGAUCAGUAACCGGCCUGAGAGAGUGGACGGACACAUUGAAACUGAGACACGGUCCAAACUACUGCGGGAGGCAGCAGUGGGUAAUAUAGCACAAUGGAGGAAACGCAGAUGCAGCGACGCCGCGUGAGCGAUGAAGGCUUUCGAGUCGUAAAGCUCUGUCCUAUGGGAAGAUAAUGACGGUACCAUAAGAGGAAGCCCCGGCUAACUCCGUG